rnacentral:rRNA from 1 species
UAGGGAAUCUUCGGCAAUGGGGGGAACCCUGACCGAGCAACGCCGCGUGAGUGAAGAAGGUUUUCGGAUCGUAAAGCUCUGUUGUUAAGGAAGAACGAGUGUGAGAAUGGAAAGUUCAUACUGUGACGGUACUUAACCAGAAAGGGACGGCUAACUACGUGCCAGCAGCCGCGGUAAUACGUAGGUCCCGAGCGUUGUCCGGAUUUAUUGGGCGUAAAGCGAGCGCAGGCGGUUAGAUAAGUCUGAAGUUAAAGGCAGUGGCUCAACCAUUGUAGGCUUUGGAAACUGUUUAACUUGAGUGCAGAAGGGGAGAGUGGAAUUCCAUGUGUAGCGGUGAAAUGCGUAGAUAUAUGGAGGAACACCGGUGGCGAAAGCGGCUCUCUAGUCUGUAACUGACGCUGAGGCUCGAAAGCGUGGGGAGCGAACAGG